CGAGAACAGGGCGAGGCUAUAAACACCCAUGCGUUUCUGCUUCCUGACUCAGCAGUGAGAUAGGCAGUGCCCCUCCCCCGCUCAUCCAUCUUCUGUCAUGUCUGCUCUGCCUGGUGAUGGAUGUAGCUUGGCACCAGGAACAAAGGAGAUUAGGUGGGCAGUUAAUGUUGUAGUUUAGCAUGACCCACUGAGCGUCUCAACUAAGGUAGUCAUCAUGGAUGGGAGAGGACCACUUAAGAGUGCAGACAAAGGUGAUCCUAGCAAA
ensembl:lncRNA